rnacentral:rRNA from 1 species
UACGUAGGGUGCAAGCGUUAAUCGGAAUUACUGGGCGUAAAGCGUGCGCAGGCGGUUUUGUAAGUCUGUCGUGAAAUCCCCGGGCUCAACCUGGGAAUUGCGAUGGAGACUGCAAGGCUAGAAUCUGGCAGAGGGGGGUAGAAUUCCACGUGUGAGCAGUGAAAUGCGUAGAGAUGUGGAGGAACACCGAUGGCGAAGGCAGCCCCCUGGGUCAAGAUUGACGCUCAUGCACGAAAGCGUGGGGAGCAAACAGGAU